rnacentral:rRNA from 1 species
GGACGAACGCUGGCGGCGUGCUUAACACAUGCAAGUCGAACGGAAAGGCCUUGCUUUUGUGGGGUGCUCGAGUGGCGAACGGGUGAGUAACACGUGAGUAACCUGCCCUUGACUUUGGGAUAACUUCAGGAAACUGGGGCUAAUACCGGAUAGGAGCUCCUGCUGCAUGGUGGGGGUUGGAAAGUUUCGGCGGUUGGGGAUGGACUCGCGGCUUAUCAGCUUGUUGGUGGGGUAGUGGCUUACCAAGGCUUUGACGGGUAGCCGGCCUGAGAGGGUGACCGGCCACAUUGGGACUGAGAUACGGCCCAGACUCCUACGGGAGGCAGCAGUGGGGAAUAUCGCACAAUGGGCGGAAGCCUGAUGCAGCAACGCCGCGUGCGGGAUGACGGCCUUCGGGUUGUAAACCGCUUUCGCCUGUGACGAAGCGUGAGUGACGGUAAUGGGUAAAGAAGCACCGGCUAACUACGUG